rnacentral:antisense_RNA from 1 species
CUUCACCGAGCCCAGCCAGAUCGGGUUCUCCUCCGGCCGUUCCUGACCGUAGGUCGCCAGCAGCGCGUGCGCCUC